rnacentral:rRNA from 1 species
UACGUAGGGGGCAAGCGUUGUCCGGAUUUAUUGGGCGUAAAGAGCGUGUAGGCGGCUUUACAGGUCCGUUGUGAAAACUCGAGGCUCAACCUCGAGACGCCGGUGGAAACCGUAAAGCUAGAGUCCGGAAGAGGAGAGUGGAAUUCCUGGUGUAGCGGUGAAAUGCGCAGAUAUCAGGAGGAACACCAGCGGCGAAGGCGGUGCUCUGGGCCGGAACUGACACUGAGGAGCGAAAGCGUGGGUAGCAAACAGG